UUAAAGAUCAGUGGCACACUUUCGGCAGACUGAAGGUUGGUAUUCGCGAAAUUUUCAAGAAUUGGCGCAUGGACAUAACUAACAUUACAAAUUUGCUCAAGCAAACCAGGAUAUUCAGACCCCCGUGUAUACAAAUAUCCAAAUACGACGGUUCAACGAAAGCGCCUCGGGUGACGACUUACACUAAGAGAACGGUUGUGACUCGCUGUGAAGACGAGGACGACGACUGCUAGGAACGUCUUUUGUAUUACAAACCAGUAUGACUAUUCUGAGUUUGAAUCACACUACAGACGGAGCGUUAAUAGUUUUUUAUUCUUAAAUCAUCUCACAUAUUAAAGAAACGGCAGACGCUUCGUAUGUAGUAAAACUUAUACUAAGCUUACAGAUUCAUUGAAAUAAAUGGUAAUAUUGUUAACAAAUUAAGAA